UACGUAGGGGGCAAGCGUUGUCCGGAAUUAUUGGGCGUAAAGAGCGCGUAGGCGGUCCGAUAAGUCGGCUGUGAAAGUCAGGGGCUCAACCCUUGGAAGCCGGCCGAUACUGUCGGACUAGAGUCCGGAAGAGGCGAGUGGAAUUCCCGGUGUAGCGGUGAAAUGCGCAGAUAUCGGGAGGAACACCAAUGGCGAAGGCAGCUCGCUGGGACGGUACUGACGCUGAGACGCGAAAGCGUGGGGAGCAAACAGG
rnacentral:rRNA from 1 species